GCCGGGCGCGGUGGCGGGCGCCUGUAAUCCCAGCUACUCGGGAGGCUGAGGCAGGAGAAUUGCUUGAACCCAGGAGGCGGAGAUUGCAGUGAGCCGAGGUCGCGCCACUUCAUUCUAGCCUGGGCAAAAGAGUGAAACUCUGUCUCAA
rnacentral:SRP_RNA from 1 species